UUCAUCGUGAGGUGGAAUCUGAAGGAGGGUGGAGGCAAAUCUUUGGUUUGAUGAACAGAAAUCAUAUCAGGCAACAGUUAAGGAUAAGCCAGUCCAUGUUAAUACUAUUACGCUCCAACUUUAUCCUGUUCAUCCUGCCGUAAUUUGUGUUAUUAUGUACCUACUAAACAGACCCGAGAAAAAC
rnacentral:misc_RNA from 1 species